UACGGAGGGUGCAAGCGUUAUCCGGAUUCACUGGGUUUAAAGGGUGCGUAGGUGGGAAUGUAAGUCAGUGGUGAAAUCUCCGUGCUUAACAUGGAAACUGCCAUUGAUACUAUGUUUCUUGAAUUUUCUGGAGGUCAGCGGAAUAUGUCAUGUAGCGGUGAAAUGCUUAGAUAUGACAUAGAACACCAAAUUGCGAAGGCAGCUGGACUAACAGGGACAUUGACACUGAGGUACGAAA
rnacentral:rRNA from 1 species